rnacentral:rRNA from 1 species
GAUGAACGCUGGCGGCGUGCCUAAUACAUGCAAGUCGAGCGAACGGACGAGAAGCCUGCUUCUCUGAGGUUAGCGGCGGACGGGUGAGCAACACGUGGAUAACCUACCUAUAAGACUGGGAUAACUUCGGGAAACCGGAGCUAAUACCGGAUAAUAUUUUGAACCGCAUGGUUCAAAAGUGAAAGACGGUCUUGCUGUCACUUAUAGAUGCAUCCGCGCUGCAUUAGCUAGUUGGUAAGGUAACGGCUUACCAAGGCAACGAUGCAUAGCCGACCUGAGAGGGUGGUCGGCCACACUGGCACUGAGACACGGUCCAGACUCCUACGGGAGGCAGCAGUAGGGAAUCUUCCGCAAUGGGCGAAAGCCUAACGGAGGAACGCCGCGUGAGUGAUGAAGGUCUUCGGAUCGUAAAACUCUGUUAUUAGGGAAGAACAUAUGUGUAUGUGACCGUGAACAUCUUGACGGUACCUGAUCAGAAAGCCACGGCUAACUACGUG